AGUUAACGUCUCACGAGGAGCACCGUGCAGCCGACUUACCUCUGGCCGAGGCAGGGCGCCGACGCGCGGCGGAGAGGCGUCAAGGGAGGACGGGGAGCGCGCCGCUGCUUCGGGAAUGAACACACGCUGUUGGGCCCGGAGUGCGGUGAGCCGAGACCGGGAAGGAGGAGAGUGGAAGAGAAGGAGAGGAGGAAGAAGAAGAAGGACAGGAGAAGAGAAGCACAUCGGACACCACCUAUUUAUCACCCUCACUGCUUCCGUCCACUGCCAAAGAGAGAGAGAGAGAGAGAGAGAGAGAGAGAGGGACACGGGGCGGAUGAAGUCAACACGACUACAGCUAUAGAAAUAGUGGGGAGGGUGGAAAAAAAGAUGGAAAAAAGAAGGACUUCAAUCUGCAUCACAGCUUUCGAGUCGUCGUGCUUGUAUUGUGCACCGUGCUUCGUGCUUUCCUCACAACCUUGACGCCCACCCCCUGCCUUCUCUAAAGCCCUCACCUCCAGUUGAUUUGGUACAGCCGUGGAUGAAUAGAAUAGUAUGGGUAGGGGGUGGUGUUGGUGAAAUGGUGGUAAGGGGCCCCCUGCAGAGAAAGCUAGUGUUACCAAGGAGGGAGCGAAGGAAUGUGCAUUUCAACGAAAAAAAGAAAAUCAUCUAGUGGAACAAACUAUGAAGAUGGAGAUUUCAACUUUAAUAGCUUGAUGAUGAGCUGGUCGAUAUCCAGAAAAAUGUUCUGAUCCUCACCAACACAAUUACACGUUUAACUCCCAUAUCCAAAUUCACGCCUCACACAAUUUUGUAUGUGCGUGUGUGCGCCACAGGGCAUGCACAAUAAAGAUUUUUAUGGUCACAAUCCAAUUUAGGCCCUGAAAUGAGAUCUAAAGUACCGUCGCACCACGCUCUCAUAAUUAAUUGAAAAGAACUAAAAUAAUGAUAUCUGAGAAGUUAUAUUGAGAACCGUGUUUUAUUUCUGACAGCUGGUUCGUACCGAACCCUAAAACCCUUGUUAUUACUAAGCCACAAAGUCUUCAUGGCUGCUCAGCAUGCCUUGACUUCUUCCUGCCUAGAAUGUUUUUGCUGCCAUUGUCGGGGAAUGGAUGAAGAGAGGGAGAUGGGAAGGACGGCGGAAAAAUACAAUGGUGAAGUCCUGCUGCAACAGGGGAAUAUUAUCAGUGUGGCUUUGGUUUGAAAUAAUUUAUAUAUAGUUAGAGUUAUAGUGUAGUUUUUAAGGCCAGGAGAGAGAGUGAGAAAGAGAAUUCAUCUCUAUGGGCAUGUGGACUAAAGCAAAGGUCCCUACCACCAGUGGGGUGAUAAAUUGCAUGACUAAGAAGAAGGGACACCUGUCAGCCACCCUCUACUGAGGCCAACAUUACAAAAGAGGAGACAUACGCAUGUGUUCUUACACACACAAGCCUGCACACACACACACACACGACUUGUACACAGAGCUCACAUCACACAACGCAACGCUGGACUGAUUGGAGGUAGCCGUCACCUUGAAAUGUCAAUUCUUCCAUCCUGAACAUGUACUGGCCUUUAAGAGCGCAAAUGAAGUGUGUAUGUUGUGAGCUUUACCGGCUGCGGCUGCGGCUGCGUGCGCUGGCAUGCCAUAGUGUUUAUUGGUGUGCGCUGCUGUGUAUUUGUGAGCAAUUGUGUGUGAAAACCACUUAUUACUGAGUGUGAGAAGUGCAGAAGUCAGUGGCGAUUGGUGUUGGUCACACGAUGAUUUGUGUUUGUGUUAAACAUACAUACACAUAUCGAUUUUAUUUUAUUAUAGGACUAAAAAUAUGCACAUGAAGAACUUUUUGCACUUAUUAACAUUUAAGUGGUUUUUAUUCAUAGUUGUCUAAUAUGUCCGUGAGUAUGUAUGUAAGUAUGUCUUUGUCCUCUGAAAUAUG
ensembl:lncRNA